rnacentral:lncRNA from 1 species
AAGUCAUCAAUUAAACAUGCAGUAUAAACUCAUAUAUGUCUUAAAUCAAUUACUUCAAUACAAUUGAAAGACAAUUAAGGUAAAACCUUCGUACAACAAUAAAAAUAUCAAACAUUAAGAUCGUGAUAUUCAACUCUCUAAAUAACAUCCACAGACAGAAAUAUAAAUGAACUAGAAAUAUCGUUCGUCCCGCCCGGUGUUACAGAAUCAGAGCAACGCAGUCUAAACUCAACAGAAAUAGUAGAAGAAUAGCAUCACACCUUCCUCUCGCACUAAACAGUUGCUCGGUUACCUGCUAAUCUCAACGAAGUUUUCCGUUCUUCACAUUCUUUCCCCUCUAUGCUCUGUAAUUUCUCAGACUUGAUCAAUCUCUUUUUCCAAUUUAUUUUUCCGUUUCAAUUCACUCC